rnacentral:rRNA from 1 species
GAGUUUGAUCUUGGCUCAGGACGAACGCUGGCGGCGUGCCUAACACAUGCAAGUCGAACGGAGAACUCGAAAAGCUUGCUUUGAGAGUUCUUAGUGGCGGACGGGUGAGUAACGCGUGGGCAACCUCCCCCUUAAACCGGGACAACCCUUGGAAACGAGGGCUAAUACCGGAUACGCUUUUCUGAGGACAUCCUCGGGAAAGGAGAGGCGGCCUCUGAAGAUGCUGCCGAUAAGGGAUGGACCCGCGUCUGAUUAGCUGGUUGGUGGGGUAAAGGCCUACCAAGGCGACGAUCAGUAGCCGGCCUGAGAGGGUGAACGGCCACGCUGGGACUGAGACACGGCCCAGACUCCUACGGGAGGCAGCAGUGGGGAAUCUUCCGCAAUGGACGAAAGUCUGACGGAGCAACGCCGCGUGUAUGACGAAGGCCUCGGUUGUAAGUAC